rnacentral:rRNA from 1 species
AACGUAGGACGCAAGCGUUAUCCGGAGUUACUGGGCGUAAAGCGCGGGCAGGCGGUCAUUCAAGUCUGAUGUGAAAUCUCUCCGCUCAACGGGGAGCAGCCAUUGGAAACUGGGCGACUGGAGUCUGGCAGAGGUAGGCGGAAUUCCGGGUGGAGUGGUGAAAUGCGUAGAGAUCCGGAGGAACACCAGAGGCGAAGGCGGCCUACUGGGCCAGUACUGACGCUGAGCCGCGAAAGCCAGGGGAGCGAACGGG